ensembl:lncRNA
CCGGACGAGGUGUUUGUGGAGGGGAGUGGUCAGCAGCCAGAGAGACCUCCCAAAGAUCCAGCAGCAAGGUGGAUGAGGAGGGACUGGAGCUUGCAGUGUGUAGGCAUGGAGUGCUGCUCCGUGCUCUAAAUAUGUACAGGGGUGAAAUUUUUGCUUAUCCCUUGUACCUGCAACAAAAGCUGGCCAAUAGACAUAUCACUUUUUUUUGUAUGGAUGUUACCUGCAAGUAUUGGCCAUAUCUUGAAAGAGUAACAAAAAGCUGUCCAGAGCUCCAGCACCUUCUUAGCAUGAAGCCAUUUCUUUCAGUCUUUCAUGCUAAAGCCCACGAUUUCAAAUGUGAGGUGAAAUGGAGUGGAGCAUAUCAAGAUGGGGCUGGUUUGACUCUAGGGGAGGAGGUAGAGCAAUGUAAUGCCUUUUUGUCAAGGAUUGCAGUUACCACAAAACAUAUGUCCAAAGCAGGACGGAGUGACAUGCUAACUCUUAUGGCCAUGCGCUGGAAUCAACAAAAGCUAGACCAGUUGGCCACCUCUCUGACCCAUCGAUAUCAGAAGGCCACAAAAGCUCUUCUAACCCAGCUUCAGAACCUGGAGUCCUUAAAAGUCCAAUUAGCAGUGACUGACAGUCAACUGGAUGAAUGGGUCAGUGAUGUAAAGGAUUGGGCAGAAGCAACAACAAGCACAAGUGAUAUUGAUCCCUUGGUGAGCAGAAUCGAAGUGCUCGUAGCGAGCAUAAAGAGACGAUCCCAGCGUCUGUACAAAGACACCGAUGGAAAUAAAGCCCGUGCCAAGAUUCGUCGCAAGAUCAGAGAAGAGAAAGGAAUCUUGACUUCUGCUGUGGAAAAAUACAACAGAAUGUUUCCAGACAAAGAAACUCUGUGCUUGGAAGAAAUUCUGUCUGGUGACACAAGCUGGCCGUGGCAGCGGGCACACAGCG